GUAGGGAAUAUUGGGCAAUGGAGGCAACUCUGACCCAGCCAUGCCGCGUGCAGGAUGACGGCCCUCUGGGUUGUAAACUGCUUUUAUACGGGAAGAAAAAAUACUACGUGUAGUAUACUGACGGUACCGUAAGAAUAAGGAUCGGCUAACUCCGUGCCAGCAGCCGCGGUAAUACGGAGGAUCCAAGCGUUGUCCGGAUUUAUUGGGUUUAAAGGGUGCGUAGGCGGAUCUUUAAGUCAGUGGUGAAAGCCUGCAGCUUAACUGUAGAAUUGCCAUGGAAACUGAAGAUCUUGAAUGUGGUUAAAGUAGGCGGAAUGUAUCAUGUAGCGGUGAAAUGCUUAGAUAUGAUACAGAACACCGAUAGCGAAGGCAGCUUGCUGAACCAUUAUUGACGCUGAGGCACGAAAGCGUGGGGAGCGAACAGGAUUAGAAACCCGAGUAGUCC
rnacentral:rRNA from 1 species